CCAAAGGCCAAGGGGGGACCCAAAACCCCAAGCACCCCACCCCAUCCACAUUGAACACAGAGGGUCGAGGUAGGUGCUUGUGGUUGUGGCUUAGGCGCUUAGCCAGUUAGACUAGACUCCCUAGAAAUCCAAAAAAACGAAUGUUAGGCGAAGAACGACUGUGGGGCGUAGGGUUUUGUUGGUGGUCGUCUCGAUAAAUCUGGCCUCGGCAUUGCUGCUGGUUUGGUCAGGAGAGUCAGAAUCAUGAAAAUAAAAACUGGCACAUGAUUUUGAACGUUAUAUUAGAAAAAUAAAGAGGAAAGAGAAGAGAUACAGUAGUAUCAUUUUUAUGUUUAUGUGGAUCCCAAACAUGGGGGAAAAGAAAAGGGGUAGUGAAGGGAUUUUGGGAAAUGAUGAGGGUAGGCAAGGAAACAAGAAGAGGACACCGGUUGCUUGCGCAAAUCUAGCUAAUCUGGGACUUCCGGGCCAACUAAAGUGAAAGUUGGGGUUGAAGCUGUGGUUAAGGCAAAACCCCAAACCCAAAGCCAUCCCCCCCACCCCAGCCAAACCGUACCAACAUCACCAUUCCCACAUUUACUUCUUGGCCUCAUUAUGUUUAGGCAGACACGGUUCUCAAUAUAGCCAGUAGAUACAUGUUGCAAGCCAAGCACCUUAGCUGCUACUUACUCUUCUUCUUCUUCUUCGCUCAAACGCUCUCUUUCUUUUUCUUCACUCUUUGAAUAUUUGAAUCUUUUCUUUCUAGCAUAGGACAAGAAAACCCCAUCAUCAAAGGAAAAAAAACGAAGAAAGUAGAAGAGAAGUAAAUAAAAACGGUUGUGGUGGGGGCAAAAGCGGAAGCAAAGGGAGGACUUUGCUCCAAGAAUGGUGACUGCUGUGAAUCCAUCUACAAAGAGAAUUGGAGGAAGAUUGGGCUUUUCCAUGAGAAUUUAUGUGAAGCGAAUGGGUUUUGGAGGCUUAUAUAAAGCAUGGGGUAAUUAUAGAAGAAACUUCAGUUUCUUCAAACUCCAAUCUUUGCAACAAGCUCUCUUCUUAAUCUUCUUCUUCAGCUUUUGGUGAUGGGAGGGGGAGGUGGUGGCGGUGGUGAUAUUGGCUGGACGGCUCAAUCUCUUUAUUGUUCAUUUAUGAUAUACUAAAAUUUUUUCUUCUCUUUUUUGCUGCUUACUUGUUGGUCCAUAAUGUUGGUAAAUGCAACGGGUAUGUUGGUCUCUUUGCUGAUUUUUUCCGCUUUUAUUUUAUUUUAGUUACACUAACUUCAUCUUUUGGCUUUUGGUUUUAUGCCUUUUGCUUGCUUCAUGAAGAAAAAAAACAUUUUCAGAGAAAGAAAAAAAAAAGAAACUUCAAAACAAGAAACUAACAGUAAUCAGGAGGUUAGAAAAUAGUGCAGUAAAUAGGGAGGAGCUGAUUCUGUGAAGGGUUGGUGACUAAAGUAAAUAUUUGAGGUCUCUACACUGUUUUAUUGUACUCAGCCUCUGUCCCUGUAAUUUAUUGUAUAUCUUCUGGGGAAAUGUGUGAGCUUUAUUAAUAGUAAUGAUAUUUGUUAAUUAUAAUA
rnacentral:sRNA from 1 species